rnacentral:rRNA from 1 species
AUUGAACGCUGGCGGAAUGCUUUACACAUGCAAGUCGAACGGCAGCACGGGAGCUUGCUCCUGGUGGCGAGUGGCGAACGGGUGAGUAACAUAUCGGAACGUACCCAGUCGUGGGGGAUAACUAUCCGAAAGGAUAGCUAAUACCGCAUACGUCCUGAGGGAGAAAGCGGGGGAUCGCAAGACCUCGCGCGUUUGGAGCUGCCGAUAUCGGAUUAGCUAGUUGGUGGGGUAAAGGCUCACCAAGGCGACGAUCCGUAGCGGGUCUGAGAGGACGAGCCGCCACACUGGAACUGAGACACGGUCCAGACUCCUACGGGAGGCAGCAGUGGGGAAUUUUGGACAAUGGGGGCAACCCUGAUCCAGCCAUUCCGCGUGAGUGAAGAAGGCCUUCGGGUUGUAAAGCUCUUUCAGCAGGAAAGAAAAGGUCGGCUUUAAUAAAGUCGGCUAAUGACGGUACCUGCAGAAGAAGCACCGGCUAACUACGUG